UACGAAGGGGGCUAGCGUUGCUCGGAAUCACUGGGCGUAAAGGGUGCGUAGGCGUGUUUUUAAGUCAGGGGUGAAAUCCUGGAGCUCAACUCCAGAACUGCCUUUGAUACUGAAGAUCUUGAGUCCGGGAGAGGUGAGUGGAACUGUGAGUGUAGAGGUGAAAUUCGUAGAUAUUCGCAAGAACACCAGUGGCGAAGGCGGCUCACUGGCCCGGUACUGACGCUGAGGCACGAAAGCGUGGGGAGCAAACAGG
rnacentral:rRNA from 1 species